rnacentral:rRNA from 1 species
UACGAAGGGAGCUAGCGUUGUUCGGAAUCACUGGGCGUAAAGCGCACGUAGGCGGAUUUGUCAGUCAGGGGUGAAAUCCCGGAGCUCAACUUCGGAACUGCCCUUGAUACAGCAAGUCUUGAGUCCGAGAGAGGUGGGUGGAAUUCCUAGUGUAGAGGUGAAAUUCGUAGAUAUUGGGAAGAACACCGGUGGCGAAGGCGGCCAUCUGGCCCGUAAUUGACGCUGAGGCGCGAAAGCGUGGGGAGCAAACAGG